GUUUGGGAUGCGCUGGAUCGGCGUAUAUGACAGUGUGUUCCAGAUCCUGCCAAUAUCCAGCAACUUCGCACAGCCAUUGAAGAGGAGUGGACCAACAUUCCACAGGCCACAAUCAACAACCUGAUCAACUUUAUGCGAAGGAGAUGUUGCACUGCGUGAGGCAAAUGGUGGUCAGACCAGAUACUGACUGGUUUUCGGACCCCCUCAAUACAGUAAAACUGCACACUUUAGAGUGGCC